rnacentral:rRNA from 1 species
GAUGAACGCUGGCGGCGUGCCUAAUACAUGCAAGUCGAGCGAACAGACGAGGAGCUUGCUCCUCUGACGUUAGCGGCGGACGGGUGAGUAACACGUGGAUAACCUACCUAUAAGACUGGGAUAACUUCGGGAAACCGGAGCUAAUACCGGAUAAUAUAUUGAACCGCAUGGUUCAAUAGUGAAAGACGGUUUUGCUGUCACUUAUAGAUGGAUCCGCGCCGCAUUAGCUAGUUGGUAAGGUAACGGCUUACCAAGGCAACGAUGCGUAGCCGACCUGAGAGGGUGGAUGGCCACACUGGAACUGAGACACGGUCCAGACUCCUACGGGGAGCAGCAGUAGGGAAUCUUCCGCAAUGGGCGAAAGCUUGACGGAGCAACGCCGCGUGAGUGAUGAAGGUCUUCGGAUCGUAAAACUCUGUUAUUAGGGAAGAACAAAUGUGUAAGUAACUAUGCACGUCUUGACGGUACCUAAUCAGAAAGCCACGGCUAACUACGUG